rnacentral:rRNA from 1 species
AUUGAACGCUGGCGGCAUGCCUUACACAUGCGAGUCGAACGGCAGCACGGGAGCAAUCCUGGUGGCGAGUGGCGAACGGGUGAGUAAAGUAUCGGAACGUGCCCAGUCGUGGGGGAUAACGUAGCGAAAGUUACGCUAAUACCGCAUACGAUCUAUGGAUGAAAGCGGGGGAUCGCAAGACCUCGCGCGAUUGGAGCGGCCGAUAUCAGAUUAGGUAGUUGGUGGGGUAAAGGCUCACCAAGCCGACGAUCUGUAGCUGGUCUGAGAGGACGACCAGCCACCCUGGGACUGAGAAACGGCCCAGACUCCUACGGUAGGCAGCAGUGGGGAAUUUUGGACAAUGGGCGCAAGCCUGAUCCAGCCAUGCCGCGUGCAGGAUGAAGGCCUUCGGGUUGUAAACUGCUUUUGUACGGAACGAAAAGGUUUGACUUAAUACGUUGGACUCAUGACGGUACCGUAAGAAUAAGCACCGGCUAACUACGUGCCAGCCGCCGCAGUAA